UACGGAGGGGGCAAGCGUUGUUCGGAAUUACUGGGCGUAAAGGGCGUGUAGGCGGCGGUUUUAGUCAGGCGUGAAAGCCCGGGGCUCAACCUCGGAAUAGCGCUUGAUACUGAACUGCUUGAGACCGGAAGAGGGUAGUGGAAUUCCCAGUGUAGAGGUGAAAUUCGUAGAUAUUGGGAAGAACACCAGUGGCGAAGGCGGCUACCUGGUCCGGAUCUGACGCUGAGGCGCGAAAGCGUGGGGAGCAAACAGG
rnacentral:misc_RNA from 1 species